GAUGAAGAACGCAGCGAAAUGCGAUAAGUAGUGUGAAUUGCAGACUUUAGUGAAUCAUCGAAUCUUUGAACGCACAUUGCGCCCCUUGGUAUUCCGAGGGGCAUGCCUAUUCGAGCGUCAUUAUCACCCCUCAAGCCUAGCUUGGUGUUGAGGCCUGCUGUCAAGGCAGCCUCUAAAAUCAGUGGCAGUGCUGUCAGGCUCUAAGCGUAGUAAAUCUAAUCGCUAUAGACACCUGGUGGACACUCGCCAGAACCCCCCCCCAUUUUUUAAUGAUUGACCUCGGAUUAGGUAGGGAUACCCGCUGAACUUAAGCAUAUCAAUAAGCGGAGGA
rnacentral:misc_RNA from 1 species